GAGAUAGAGAUAGAGAGAGACAGAGAGUGACAGAGGAAGUUGUUGGGUAUAACAGAAAGAGGAGAGAGGCGUCUGUCUGCUCAGCUACACUGCCAUAUGGUAUCAAUAGAAGAAGAGCUGUGGAGAGACCUUUGAACAACCCCUUCAUUUACAGAUGAGAAAACUUGUUUUAACAUUUACUAGCACACCACUGGGACCUGAUUUCCUCCUAAGGUGGAAUGGGGAUCGUGGAUCAGUGUAUUUCAGCAGAUGAAGAAACCAGCUCCCACAGAGGGUAGGAACUUGCCCAAGGUCCCACAGAAGCUAAACAGAAGGACAGACCAAGCGGAGCCCAGGACAAAGAUGGCUCCAGAAGUCAGGACCACCAUCUUUCAUUCAAGCCUCUCCUACCCCACCAGGAGAUAAGCCCAUUGGGUAUGGCUGCUUUGUGAGCUGAACCAGGGGAUAGAGAUACCACGACCCCACAUUCAAGCCUUUCCCAUCCCACCCCUCAUUUAAGCUUUCCCCACCCCCAAAGGGAACUUUCCAUAAUCAGGUGGUCACCCCAUCUAUCCUCCCACCAUCUAUCCUCUAUAAAGGCUUUGGCCUCCCUUCCUGUCAAGGAGAAAGUUGACUCAGAGAAUCCGGUCUCUAAGCCAUUUUUACCCCUUGAGGCUGAAGUCUUUGACUUCCCUCUCAUUCACUUUCUCUUAAGAGCCUA